GUCCACUCCGUAAACGAUGAGUGCUAGCUGCUGGGGAUGUUUACCGUCUCAGUGGCGAAGCUAACGCAUUAAGCACUCCGCCUGGGAAGUACGGCCGCAAGGCUAAAAACUCAAAGGAAUUGACGGGGGGCCCGCACAAGCGGUGGAGCAUGUGGUUUAAUUCGAAGCAACGCGCAGAACCUUACCCAGGCUUGACAUCUCGGGAACCCUGCGGAAACGUGGGGGUGCCUUCUCACGAAGGAGCCCGAUGACAGGUGCUGCAUGGCUGUCGU
rnacentral:rRNA from 1 species